rnacentral:hammerhead_ribozyme from 1 species
AUCCAGCUGAUGAGUCCCAAAUAGGACGAAACGCGCGUCGUGGAU